CUCCGUCAGGGGAAUCGAACCCCCGCCGCAUCGGUGAGAGCGAUGAAUCCUAGCCA
rnacentral:tRNA from 1 species